rnacentral:misc_RNA from 1 species
GAUGAAGAACGUAGCGAAAUGCGAUACUUGGUGUGAAUUGCAGAAUUCAGUGAAUCAUCGAAUCUUUGAACGCACAUUGCGCCCCUUGGUAUUCCAUGGGGCAUGCCUGUUCGAGCGUCAUUUGUACCUUCAAGCUCUGCUUGGUGUUGGGUGUUUGUCUCGCCUCUGCGUGUAGACUCGCCUCAAAACAAUUGGCAGCCGGCGUAUUGAUUUCGGAGCGCAGUACAUCUCGCGCUUUGCACUCAUAACGACGACGUCCAAAAGUACAUUUUUACACUCUUGACCUCGGAUCAGGUAGGGAUACCCGCUGAACUUAAGCAUAUCAAUAAGCGGAGGA